UUCUUUUUGGUUUUUUAAAAAGUAAGACCUGCUCAAUGAUCUUUUAAAUAGCCGCGUUAUAACCGUGCUAAGGUAGCAUAAUAAUUUGUCUUUUAAUUAAGGUCUAGUAUGAAUGGUUAAACGAGGAAUUAACUUUUUUAAUUAAAUUAAUUUUAACUUUAUUUUUUAGUUAAAAAGCUAAAAUAAAAUUAAAGGACGAUCAGACCCUAUAGAAUUUUAUUUUAAAAAAUUUAUUAUAUUAUUAUAAUAAAUGUAUAAUAAAUUCUAUAAAUUUGGUUGGGGUGAUUUUUAUAUUUUAUUAACUAUAAUAUUUGUUUUUCGUUAUUAAUGAAAUUUUGAUCCUUUUAUUAAGAUUAAUAGAAAAAAUUACCUUAGGGAUAACAGCGUAAUUUUCUUGGAGAGUUCUUAUUAAUAAGAAAGAUUGCGA
rnacentral:rRNA from 1 species